rnacentral:rRNA from 1 species
GAUGAACGCUGGCGGCGUGCCUAAUACAUGCAAGUCGAGCGAACAGACGAGGAGCUUGCUCCUCUGACGUUAGCGGCGGACGGGUGAGUAACACGUGGAUAACCUACCUAUAAGACUGGGAUAACUUCGGGAAACCGGAGCUAAUACCGGAUAAUAUAUUGAACCGCAUUGUUCAUUAGUGAAAGACGGUUUUGCUGUCACUUAUAGAUGGAUCCGCGCCGCAUUAGCUAGUUGGUAAGGUAACGGCUUACCAAGGCAACGAUGCGUAGCCGACCUGAGAGGGGGAUCGGCCACACUGGAACGGAGACACGGUCCAGACGCCUACGGGAGGCAGCAGUAGGGAAUCUGCCGCAAUGGGCGAAAGCCUGACGGAGCAACGCCGCGUGAGUGAUGAAGGUCUUCGGAUCGUAAAACUCUGUUAUUAGGGAAGAACAAAUGUGUAAGUAACUAUGCACGUCUUGACGGUACCUAAUCAGAAAGCCACGGCUAACUACGUG